rnacentral:rRNA from 1 species
AUGUUCUAUCUGUUGUUUGCUUUGCUUCUGUUCACUCAUAUAGCUGGCAAGGGUGAUUGUAUGGUACUUGGAUGGAAUGACAACACCGAUCUGCACUCGUUGCUUGAAUUCAAGCAGGCAAUAAGCAAAGAUCCAACAAGGGCCUUGAGCUCCUGGAACAGAAGCACCAACUUCUGCAGAUGGAACGGUGUUACCUGCAGUGCAGAUAGACCAAAAAGGCAUGUCGUGAAGCUCGAACUUGCAGCACAGAGUUUGGUGGGACAUAUCUCACCUUCUCUUGGAAAUCUCACGUACCUUGUUACCAUUAACUUCUCCACAAACAGCUUCUCUGGGAACCUACCACCUCUCUUCCACCGUCUGCAAAACCUGCAGAUUCUUGACCUGAGCAACAACCUCUUGCAUGGGGUGAUCCCUCAAGGACUUGCAAAUUGCUCUGAUCUGAGGAAGCUAGAUCUGUACGGGAACUCGCUACAAGGCAAAAUCCCCCAAGAGAUAGGCCUCCUCUCACACCUAUCCAUUCUGGAGCUUUCCGUGAAUAAGCUAACUGGGACCAUCCCAGCAAAACUCAGCAACAUCACUUCCUUGGAGAUACUCCAUGUUACAGGCAAUCAGCUUGAAGGAAGAAUUCCACAUGAGUUUGGGAGACUGUCAAAGAUGCGGCAACUGCUCCUGGGGGGAAAUAGACUAUCAGGUGAGAUACCAGUAGCCCUCUUUAACCUGACUCUGUUGAGAGAACUGGACCUGGAUUCAAAUGAGCUAGGAGGCACGUUACCAUCUGACAUGGGCGACACCCUCCCUAAUCUGGAGACCCUUGAGCUUGGUGGUAACAUGAUUGAAGGCCAUGUCCCUGCUUCACUAGGCAACGCAUCAAGACUGUCUACGAUAAACAUGCCAGUUAACAAUUUCACAGGCCACGUUCCAAGUUCUUUUGGUAAACUUCAGAAGCUGUAUAGUCUAAACCUUGAAAGAAACCAGCUUAAAGCAAAUGAUGACCAAAGCUGGGAGUUUCUGGCAGCACUAAGCAAUUGCAGCCUUCUAGACAUGCUCUCACUGUACGGAAAUCAGCUGGAAGGAGUUCUACCAGACACUGUUGGCAAUCUGUCUGCUGGUAUUCAAAGCCUUCUUUUGGGAACAAACAACCUGUCAGGGAUGGUGCCCUUAAGCAUAGGGAACCUUAAAAACCUGACUAAAUUUUCAUUAGCCUACAAUGGUUUUACUGGUACAGUUGAAGGAUGGAUUACAAAUAUGAAAAAGCUGCAAGGUCUGAAUCUUCAUGGAAAUAACUUCAAUGGGUCCAUUCCAUUCUCCAUUGGCAAUCUUACCCAAUUAUCAGUGCUAUAUAUGGACAAUAACAAAUUUGAUGGUGUCAUACCAUCUAGCCUUGGAAACCUUCGGCAGCUCUCAGAUUUGGAUCUUAGUUAUAAUAAUCUCCAAGGUAACAUACCAAAAGAGAUUUUCGCUUCAGGCUCAAUGACCAACUGCAUACUGUCCUACAACAAUUUGGAAGGUGUAUUACCUCCAGAGGUUGGCAGCCUUCAGCAACUCACAGAACUUCAGCUUUCGUCCAACAAGCUUACCGGAGCAAUUCCAAAGACCUUGGCCCAAUGUAAACAAUUGGAAACCAUCAAAAUGGAUCAAAAUUUCUUCACAGAAGAUAUUCCGAUAUCUCUGGGUGAUCUGCAGAGCUUGACAACACUUAAUCUUUCACACAACAAGUUAUCAGGUGCCAUCCCAACAGCUCUAGGUGAUCUGAAAAUCCUUACCCAACUAGAUCUCUCUUACAAUCAUCUUGAAGGAGAAAUACCAACAAAAGGAGUAUUCAAGAACACUACUGCUAUUUCUCUCAAUGGAAACAAGGAGCUCUGUGGUGGAGUAACUGACCUGCAAAUGCCUUUAUGCCCUAUCGUUUCUCAUAAGAAAGGAGUACCGUACUACAUGGUCAGAGUACUGGUUCCUGUAGUUGGUUUGGCAUUACUCGUUUUGCUAAUCUACUUUGCAGUAUUCAGGAACUUGUCAGGCAGACCACAUUCAUCCCUGCCUUCUUUCCAUAGCCAAUUCCCAAAAGUAUCUUACAAGGAUCUUCUUCAAGCCACUAGCAAUUUCUCUGAGUCUAACUUGGUUGGAAGAGGAAGCUGCAGUUUCGUGUACCGAGGACAGUUAUUGCCAGUCAAUGCAGAGGUAGCUGUGAAGGUUUUUGAGCUGGAGAUGCAAGGUGCAGAUAUAAGCUUCAUGUCAGAAUGUGAAGCGUUGAGAAGUACGCGGCAUCGAAAUAUUCUUCCAAUCCUAAGUGUAUGCUCGACAAUAGAUUAUAAAGGCAAUCCUUUCAAGGCUAUAGUUUAUGAAUUCAUGCCGAAUGGGGACUUGGAGACAUGGUUGCAUCCAGCAAGUGAUUUGGAAGAUCCACAUUACCUAGGGAUAAUACAGAGAGUAAAUGUUGCCAUUAACAUAGCUGAUGCAUUGGAUUAUUUACACCAUGACUGUGAAAGACACAUCAUCCAUUGUGAUCUGAAGCCCAGCAAUAUCCUUUUAGAUGCAGAUAUGGUUGCCCAUUUAGGAGACUUUAGCAUUUCAAGGGUUUGUGUCCAAACUAGCUCACAAUCAUCAGCUGGAAACUAUUCAAGUCCGGUUAAUUCCGCUAGUGUUAACGGAACUAUAGGUUAUAUUGCUCCAGAGUAUGCUGGAGGAAGCCAUGUAUCAACCUCCGGGGAUGUGUACAGUUAUGGAGUAUUACUUCUAGAGAUGCUGACAGGCAAAAGCCCAACUGAUCCUAUGUUCAAUAAUGGACUCAACAUCAUCUACUACGUUGAGAACAAUCUGCCAGACAACAUAUUUCGUGUUGUUGAUGCUUAUCUCCAAGAGGAAAGUGAGGCCCUUGCUCCAGCAUACACGGAAGAACAAAAUGCAGUCUACCAAUGCUUUCUGUCCCUACUGAAAGUGGCAGUUUCUUGUGCACUCCAGGACCCGUCAGAACGAAUCAGCAUGAGAGAGGUAUCCAAAAAACUAAAUGGGGUAAAGAUGGCUUUACCAUUCGAGUGA